GUGUGUGUGUGUGUGUGGGAGAGAGAGAGAGAGAGAGAGAGACAGACAGACAGACAGACACCUACAGAAGCUCAGUUGAGAAGUCUUUACCAGGAGGAACAUUCACCUGCAGGACCAGGAACUUCUGAAUCAGGACAACUGGAGAAAUGAGACACACUUUCACAAACUAGCAGGGGAAGAAGGUGGACUGGGAAACAUAACUUCACUUAGCUCUACUACUUAACAUGCAGGGAUAUUGAUUUUGUGCCCUGUGCUCCUGUAAAUGGCUGAACAAGAAGCUUAAUGCACCCAACGUCAGAUAUCUUACUCAUGCCAUGGCCAGAGUGAGAGCUGAACAAGAUGAUUAAAUUCGCUUUCCCUUCACAAAGGAUAUGAAAAUCACAUGUGGACAUUAUCCUUAAAAGAGAAAGGUGAAGAGUAAGGUGGUGAAUUCAGUGAAGACAUCAAUCACAGGAGACUAUCACAGGAGACUCAGAGCACAAGAAAGCUAUCGCACACACACUCACACACCCAUGCAUACAAUAAUGACAAUUUAGGGCUGCCAAUCUGCCUACAGAGGAGGAAACUGGAGUACCUGGAGGAAACCUACAAGACACAGGGAGAACACUCAAACUAUGAAAGAUCGAACUUUAAACAUCAAACGAUGAAAAGUUGUACACUGCAAGAUUUCAUUCAUCAAUAAUAAAAACAGCUUUUAAUGUAUUCUAAGGAAGUUGUCACAUUGGUACUGUAGUGUAUUACAAUCUCCCAAACACAGUUCCAUUUACCAAAUUUCAGAUAUCUCCUGGUGAUUUUUCUUCUUUCACUCUUUAAAAUCAAUAUAUCUGAAGCUUUACACAAAAUUUCUUUAAAAAAAAAAACAAUCUGGUCACAGAUAUUUUGUAGCUACACUUAAUAGAGUUCAGGCAACUUGGGUUAAAUGAAUUAACAGUUAUGUGAGCUGUAGCUGUAUAUAUUCCUUUAAUUUCAACCCUAUAUACACCUGGGUAAAGUAAUAGCCAGCCUGCUGCUCUGAAUAUCUUUAACUUAAUGGUAUAACCCACAGUUUGUGAGACUGUGAUACUAUAGUGCAAUUGUAUUUAAACUAUUUUUUUGCACACCAUUCCAUACAUAAAAUACAUUUCCUAAUGCUCACCUACAUUAAACACCAUCACCAUUAACUAUUAGACAUAUAAGCAUAUAAAACAUAUAUUUUGCCCAAAUCAUACAAAAGGUCUAAUCUCUACUUUACAAAAUCCAAGAUUUGAAGUUUAAUAAAAAAUUUUCAUGAUUCCAUAGCCACACUUUGAUUACCACUGAUUUGUUAGCAACAUGCUAUAGGUACCCCAGACAGAAACAUACAACUUUUUACAUUUACUGAACAGGCUUUUAAUGAAAGCAAUAGUAAAUAAAGCUGCUGUCAAAAUUGUUAAAUUAUUCCAGCAUGUUGGUCCCCUGAUGUUGUCAAG